ensembl:lncRNA
AAAAGAUCAAACAUAAGUCAGAUUUGACUUUGUUGUAUUUAUUACUGGAUUUAUGAUGGUUGUAUCUCUCACCUGAGCUUUCGGGGUUUCUGUGGAGUUUCUUCCUGACCUUUUGUUCACUUCCUGUCAGGAGGGGUUUGGGCUCUUCCUGGAAUAAAUGUCUGAGCAAAGUGAGUGUAUUGUCACCUUAACAGGAUCGAUGUUUGUUUGAUCUAUAUGUUAAUCUCUAAACACAGACAGUGUGGCUACUGGCCCGUCUCCACCUCUGAAGAGGAGCUUGUCUAGACACACGUCUUUCCAGGUGAGAAUUAUUAUAAUUUUUGGAAAGCCAACAGGAAAAAAAGAAGUCUUAACGCCUUAGAAGCAUCGACGUUGUCCUUUAUGUAGACUUUUGUUAAAACAAGACAGAGAGAGAGAGAAAGAGAGAAACAUUUAUUUAAAUCAAAAACUAAUCAAACUAUUGUAGAAAUAAAUAUAUUAAUGUUAACCCAAAAUUAAUAAAAUCAAACAGACGUUCCUUAAUGUUGAGGACUGUAUAUGAUAUGUGAUUUAUACUCUUAGAUUGUGUGUUGUGUAAAAAGAUUUGAAAUCUCACGUAAAUUUUAAACUAAGCUUUUAAAAUCUUUUUUUCUUAACACACACACACACACACACACACACACAUGUGAGUGUUGAUAUUUAAAAUAGGUGAAACUAUCUAAUAUUUCUCUCUAUAUAAAAAAUAAAAAACAGUUUUUAUUCAUUUCUUUAAAGUAUAGGGUGGUGUUAUGUUAAUGAUAUUUCACGCCGGUGUUGUUUCCUUUGAUGUUGGCUACACGGGACACGCCCCUUUUUCGCGGCAGCAUUUCGCGAUUACAAAAGCUUCCACCGCAGGACCUGAAGCUUAACAGUUUUUUGUCCUACGGGUUAAAUCAGAACAACAUUGUUUUUUGAGGGGAAAAUGUCUGUCUCUCCUAACGGCGAUAUGAUGUUCUGUAAGCAGAACACCGGUUAUGAGACGAUUGUGAAUGACAUCAUAGCAUUGAACGCGAACGCACAACCUUGCAUUGCAUCCGAGGCGUCCGGGGUUAGGCCUGACAACACCACAACACCCGGAAGAAAAGUGGUUGUGACUGCCCAGAUCCAUGCCCCACCGCAAACAUCUACAAACUCUGCACCAACUGAUCAUAUGAGGAGUCUUGCUAACACUAUACCACCAUUAUCACCACAAGCAUUUGUUGAUGGCAGUUCUGGUGUAGGUGUUAGGAGGCUAUCAAUAACACAUCAGGAAGACCAGGACGUGACUGCUCUGUCGGUUCAGACUGGUGGACAAAAGACUGCAAGACCCAAAGAGACCGGUGUGAUACCUAACACCCCUGAGCGAAAACGUCCAAGACAAUCUACUGAAUCAGAAGACACAGCGAUCUGUAACGAACAUGAUGUUCAAGCAUGGGACGGGUGCGAUACGACCAGCACGUCUAAUGUGGAUCAGCAGAAGGAUUUAAAUCAAUCCCCAGACACCGUUGAAAACGUCGCAGAUUCAGACGGUGAUGCAGAAAAACUUUCUUCAGACCAAGAGGAAUACAAGAACCGACAGCAGAACGACGCAAACAGAGAAAUUUGGAACCGUCUGAACACUGUUAUCAAGAACCAAGAAAUAAUUCUAGAGCAGCAAGCACGUUUUCAUCAGAUUAAUGUCGAGAACCAAGAAAAAAUUCUAGAACAGCAAGCACGUUUUUAUCAGAUUAUUGUCAAGAACCAAGAACAAAUUCUAGAGGAGCAAGCAUGUUUUCAGCAGAUUAUUGUCAAGAACCAAGCAGAUUUUAAACAGAUACUACAGAAAACACUUAAAAUAAUUAUUGCAUCGCAAAUACGUUUCCAGACCUAGGAGACGGUGAAUUUAAACAGGAGCUUAGUUUGUGGACUGAUAUGUUAUGUUGAUGUAUAUGUGAUCUCCUGUCAGAGAUAGUGUGAUUAAACCAGCGAUACGCUCAAACAGGAAGUGUUUGGUGAGAUUUCCCACUGCUUGUUAUUCUUAUGGAUGUAUUAAAGCCCACACGUCCACAUGGUUCUGUCUGUUUCCCAGCUCUGACUCACACUGACAUGAGCUGAAUAUCAUUUAAUGCUCAGUUUGUCUAACAGAAAUGAUGUAUUCACAAAUCAAUAAAUAAACCGUCAAUAAAAAGUCAAGACUGAAUCUAUAUUUUACAAUGGAAUAUGCACAUAUGCAGGCUAUACUAAAUA